CCUCGGCUAACUCCGUGCCAGCAGCCGCGGUAAUACGGAGGAGGCAAGCGUUAUCCGGAAUGAUUGGGCGUAAAGCGUUCGUAGGUGGCUAUUCAAGUCUGCUGUCAAAGACUGAAGCUCAACUUCUGAAAGGCAGGGGAAACUGAUUAGCUGGAGUGCGGUAGGGGCAGAAGGAAUUCCCGGUGUAGCGGUGAAAUGCGUAGAGAUCGGGAAGAACACCGGUGGCGAAAGCGCUCUGCUGGGCCGCAACUGACACUGAGGGACGAAAGCUAGGGGAGCGAAUGGGAUUA
rnacentral:rRNA from 1 species